rnacentral:tRNA from 1 species
GGAGGCAGUCAGUAGCCUGGUGGCGCUCACGGUCUUCAAAACCGAUGGGGGGCGUAUCCCGUCCCCGGUGUGUUCGAUUCACAUCUGCCUCCGCCA